rnacentral:rRNA from 1 species
UACGUAGGGUGCGAGCGUUGUCCGGAAUUACUGGGCGUAAAGAGCUCGUAGGUGGUUUGUCGCGUUGUUCGUGAAAACCUGAGGCUUAACCUUGGGCGUGCGGGCGAUACGGGCAGACUGGAGUACUGCAGGGGAGACUGGAAUUCCUGGUGUAGCGGUGGAAUGCGCAGAUAUCAGGAGGAACACCAAUGGCGAAGGCAGAUCUCUGGGCCGUAACUGACGCUGAGACGCGAAAGCGUGGGGAGCAAACAGG